rnacentral:rRNA from 1 species
UACGUAGGGUGCAAGCGUUGUCCGGAAUUAUUGGGCGUAAAGAGCUCGUAGGCGGUCUGUCGCGUCGGGAGUGAAAUCCACUGGCUUAACUGGUGGCUUGCUUUCGAUACGGGCAGACUGGAGGUAUGUAGGGGAGAACGGAAUUCCUGGUGUAGCGGUGAAAUGCGCAGAUAUCAGGAGGAACACCGGUGGCGAAGGCGGUUCUCUGGGCAUGUCCUGACGCUGAGGAGCGAAAGUGUGGGGAGCGAACAGG